rnacentral:rRNA from 1 species
CGGACUACCAGUGCUUUGUGAUGCGCUCUCAAAGAGUCGAGUUGUUUGGGAAUGCAGCUCAAAAAUGGGUGGUAAAUUCCAUCUAAAGCUAAAUAUUGGCGAGAGACCGAUAGCGAACAAGUACCGUGAGGGAAAGAUGAAAAGCACUUUGGAAAGAGAGUUAAACAGUACGUGAAAUUGCUGAAAGGGAAACGCUUGAAGUCAGUCACGUUGGUCAGAACUCAGCCUGGCUUUUGCUUGGUGCAUUUUCUGAUUAACGGGCCAGCAUCAAUUUUGACCAUUGGAAAAAUUCUUUGGGAAUGUGGCUCCUCCGGGAGUGUUAUAGCCCAAGGUUGUAUACAGUGGUUGGGAUUGAGGAACUCAGCACGCCUUUAUGGUCGGGGUUCGCCCACGCUCGUGCUUAGGAUGCUGGCGUAAUGGCUUUAAACGACCCGUCUUGAAACACGGACCAAGGAGUCUAACAUGCCUGCGAGUGUUUGGGUGGAAAACCCGAGCGCGUAAUGAAAGUGAAAGUUGGGAUCUCUGUCGUGGAGAGCACCGACGCCCAUACCAGACCUUCUGUGACGGAUAUGCGGUUGAGCAUGUAUGUUGGGACCCGAAAGAUGGUGAACUAUGCCUGAAUAGGGUGAAGCCAGAGGAAACUCUGGUGGAGGCUCGUAGCGAUUCUGACGUGCAAAUCGAUCGUCAAAUUUGGGUAUAGGGCGAAA